UAGGGAAUCUUCGGCAAUGGGGGGGACCCUGACCGAGCAACGCCGCGUGAGUGAAGAAGGUUUUCGGAUCGUAAAGCUCUGUUGUUAAGGAAGAACGAGUGUGAGAAUGGAAAGUUCAUGCUGUGACGGUACUUAACCAGAAAGGGACGGCUAACUACGUGCCAGCAGCCGCGGUAAUACGUAGGUCCCGAGCGUUGUCCGGAUUUAUUGGGCGUAAAGCGAGCGCAGGCGGUUAGAAAAGUCUGAAGUGAAAGGCAGUGGCUCAACCAUUGUAGGCUUUGGAAACUGUUUAACUUGAGUGCAGAAGGGGAGAGUGGAAUUCCAUGUGUAGCGGUGAAAUGCGUAGAUAUAUGGAGGAACACCGGUGGCGAAAGCGGCUCUCUGGUCUGUAACUGACGCUGAGGCUCGAAAGCGUGGGGAGCGAACAGGAUUAGAUACCCUGGUAGUCCACGCCGUAAACGAUGAGUGCUAGGUGUUAGGUCCUUUCCGGGACUUGGUGCCGCAGCUAACGCAUUAAGCACUCCGCCUGGGGAGUACGACCGCAAGGUUG
rnacentral:rRNA from 1 species